rnacentral:lncRNA from 10 species
CGGGGGUGUCUUGUCCGCUGAUGGUUCCCGCUAAUAGGCAAACACCAGGAACGUGCAGCCCCUCCCCUCCGCCUCGCGCUCUUUCUGGGAGGAGCCUGGGGGGGGGAGGGUCCUGCCCACGGGCCCCGCCCUGCACUAGGCGGAAGCCCCCAAAGUAUCAGCGCCGCUUCGUGGAGCCUGGCGACUGCUUUGGGAAGUCCUGCUGGCAGGCACUCUGCCCCUGGGGGUGUGCAAAGAGUUGUCCAGUUACCUUGAUCUUCUCACAGCCUCCUCCCCAGGGCACCAGGAGAGACCAGGAUUGGAGGACGGUAAAGAACACACUUCCCAGAGGAUUCUUGGAGUGUCUGAAACAAACAGAAGUUUGUUUCUCGUCCAUGUAACCAAGGCAAAUGCUCCUGGUUGGCAGGUGGCUUCCUCCAGGCAGUAAAUCUACAGCCCAGGCUCCCUGCAUCUUAUGGCUCCAAUCACUUUGGAUCUCAUCGUCGCCUGCACAUUGCCAUACACAGGGAAGGAGAAGAGAUGGAGAAGGCAAAGACUUUCUGAAAGCCGUGGCUAAAAGCUGGCAUGUGUCACAUCAGCUCACAUUCCAUUGUAGAGACGGGGUUUCACCGUGUUAGCCAGGAUGGUCUUGAUAUCCUGACCUCGUGAUCCGCCCGCCUUGGCUUCCCAAAGUGCUGGGAUUACAGGCGUGAGCCACCGCUCCCGGCCUGGCAGGCAUUCUUGAGGCAAACGGGAAAUGGGGUAAGUUACACAAUCGAUACAGCUCCGUCAUCGUGGUUUAAUUACUUUUCCACGUACCAUGUUUCCUGACAGGUAGAACGAUCAGCCUGGGCCUCCGUUUUUCAUUCUACAAAGAAUGAAGUGCAUGAACUGUCCUCUAUAGAAUUGUGGAAAAAGUUGUUUUUAUUGAGUUGUGGUUAUCUUUGUCUUCAUGGUCUAAUUACGGAAAUAAAUGCUUUUCCGAGUCUCCGGGGAUGGUCUGCCCUAGUCCAGCUCUCUGCAGUGUCUUUCUGGGUUUUUCCUCAGUGAACGGGAGGAACAUUGGCAGCACUUGUGGUCUGCACCAAGAACUGAAUCGAAUUUCCAUGUGUUAUUGAAUGUUCACAAAGACCUUGUACAGCGAGUGUUACUACCUCUGGUCAAUGAUUCAACUCAAGGCUCAGAAAAGUCAAGUGUCUUGUCCAGGGACACUUAGUCAGAAGUGAAUCCAAGGUUUAAGCUCAAGUCUGCCUAACUCUGAAUUUCACAGCCUUUUGCUACAUAUGGCGAAUAAUAUAUCCCUGAGCACUAAAGGCAGACUCCAAGGAUCUUGUCUCUGCAAUCAUCAUUCUGGCCAUAAUUUAUGAAAAGCAACCCAAAGUAUGUGAUGUAAUAAAAAGUACUAUCUAUGAGUUUACCCUUCCAAAAAUUGAACUGAAUUCUGAGCUCUAAAUUUGGAAUCAAAAGAACUUUUCUCUGCACUAAUCAUUUGGAACAUCACUUAAAGAAAACAACGAAAAACUGGUGUCCCCUGAGAGAAAGCAAUACAAAACAUUAUGCAUAAAGAAAUCCUUCCAAAAAAUAAACCAAAUCCAGUCAAAUCUCUAGUUUUGACUCCUAGCUUACCGGAAAUACGUGAUGGGAAAAAAAUGAAAUGACACCACUAUGAUUCAAUCAGCCAAAUCCAGCAUAUGCAAAUUUCUACCAGAUAAAUGGUUUAGUUUCUUCCCCAAACAAAUGGCACAAGGAAACGGAGGUAAGAAUGGGAUGCUGUUAUAGAUUUUAAAAGAUUUAAGAAAGUAUAAACUAAAUACACUAUGUGCAUCCUCUCUGAACGUGCUUCAAACAUAUCAAGGGGUCAAUGAGCAGUUUUGAAACAAUAAGGGAAUUUGAACACUGAAUGGUUGUCAGAAGAUAGUAAGAGAUCAUUAUUAAUUUUACUAGACAUAAUGAUGUUCUGAUUUUGUUUUUUUUUUAAAAAAAAAACAGUGUUAUUUCCUUUAUAGAUACAUCAUAUAGUAUUAACUAAUGAAAUGCUUUGAUAUCUGGAACGUUUAAAAAAUAUUCCCGAUGGAGUAAGUGCAAAGAAACAGGUAAGCAAAAUGCUGAUAAUUGCUGAAACACAGGAUGUGUACCUGGGGCUUCAUUUACUAUCUCUUCAUUUUCUAUUUUGAUAUUUGUUGGACAUUCUCAUAAAAAGGAAAGUUAUGUUUUAUUUUCUCAUAAGCUAGUAAUGAAAUAGCCCUACGUAACUGAUAUUGUAGAGACAAGAAUAGGUGUAAUAGAGCUUAAGGUUUUCAUUUAAAAAACUAUCUGUAGACUUCAAUGGAUCUUAGGUGGCAUCCAUGCAAUAACACUCGUGGAACAUGCAGGACAGGUGUGGAGCUCCAUCUUCACACAGUGACAUUUUUUAUGCUUCUGUUUUCCCUAAGAGUGGAGUGAGAGGAUGAUUAUUUUAUAUCAUGGACUUCUUCCCUGCUAUACUUUUUUUAAUUAUUUUACUUUCACUUCUGGGAUACAUGUGCUGAGCAUGCAGGCUUGUUUACAUAGGUAUACAUCUGCCAUGGUGGUUUGCUGCACCUAUCAACCCAUCAUACAGGUUUUAAGCCCUGCAUGCAUUAGGUAUUCGCCCUAAUGCUCUCCCUCGCCUUUCCCCCCACCCCCUGAUAGCCCCCAGUGAGUCAUAUUCCCCUCCCUGUGUCCAUGUGUUCUCAUUGUUCAACUCCCAUUUAUGAGUGAGAAUAUGUGGUGUUUAGUUUUCUGUUCCUGUGUUAGUUUGCUGAGAAUGAUGUUUUCCAGCUUCAUCCAUGUCCCUGAAAAGGACAUGAGCUCAUUCUUUUUUAUGGCUGCAUAGUAUUCCACGGUGUUAUAUGUGCCACAUUUUCUUAAUCCAGUCUGUCAUUGAUGGACAUUUGGGUUGUUUCCAAGUCUUUGCUAUUGUAAAUAGUGCUGCAAUAAACAUAUGUGUGCAUGUGUCUUUGUAGUAGAAUGAUUUAUAAUCCUUUGGGUAUAUGCCCAGUAAUGGGACUGAUGGGUCAAAUGGUAUUUCUGGUUCUAGAUCCUUGAGGAAUUGCCACACUGUCUUCCACAAUGGUUGAACUAAUUUAUACUCCCACCAACAGGGUAAAAGCAUUCCUAUUUCUCCACAUCCUCUCCAGCAUCUGUUGUUUCCAAAUGUUUUAAUGAUUGCCAUUCCACCUGGCGUGAGAUGGUAUCUCAUUGUGGUUUUGAUUUUCAUUUCUCUAAUGACCAGUGAUGAUAAGCUUUUUUUCAUAUGUUUGUUGGCCACAUAAAUGUCUUCUUUUGACUUUUAUGUGGAAACAAAUUUAACUGCACAGAGAGGUGAAAAUUAAUUAAUAACUUUUAAAGUAAUUCCCUAAGUUUCUAAGGAUCUAUAUGUUUCCAUCUGACUUUAUUUUAUUUAAGCUCUUGAUUGAUGCUGCAUUUGGAGCAGGUUCAUGAACAUGAAUAGAGUUAAUCUGGGACAGAUUUCCCUCAUUUGAUUUUUUCACUGUUUCCAUCACAGAACUUAUUUCAUGCUCACCAUGUUUGCAGGCAUUGAGCUUGGUACUGGAGCCACAGAGCUGGAUCAGACAGACUUGUGCAAAUAUUUCAGGUUUUUUUUGUGGGGGGGUCAUAUUUAUAGAUAAAUAACAGUAAAGAGUGACGGGUUCUUAUGAAAAUGCAUACACAGUGAAGUAGAGGGUGAAAAGGAGGGAUGUGUUCUAUGAGGAGGAAGAGUGAUAAGAAAGUGUAAGGGGAUGUGUCUGUGUCUAGACAUAUGUGUGUUCACGUGUGUGCGUGCUUGUGUGUACUGCAUGUGUAUAUGUGUGGCCAUGCACCUGUGUGCAUGUUCAUGUGUGUGUGUGUAUGUGUCUGUGUUGAGGACUAAAUUAAUUGGGCUUAUGGAAGCAGGGAGCCACUGAUAGGUUUAAUUAGAGACUGACAUGAUAUGAUAGUUUAGGUGGAUUUCUCUGGGGGCUGUGUUGAGGGACAGUGGGGAGGAGAGCUAGAAGGAAGAAAAGGACACAUGCAUAACAGAAGCAAUAUCUGUCUAUGGGAUGGUGGAAAGAAUCAGAAAAGACUUAAUAAAACAUGUGACACUUUAACUGAAUCUUGAAAUAGACAAGUGUUGGAGGAGGGAGUUGGACCAGAUACUUCAUGCAAAGGGAAGAAAAGUGCACAAACAAAAUAUGAGAAACAAGGCAGACAGGCAUUUUUUUAAAAUUUUCGCACCCACUGAUAGACCAGUGAUGCAUUCACAUCGUCUGCAUUCAUGAUCAACAAAAGUGCUUUCCUAGAACAUGAACCUCAACCCAAGUGUCGCCUCAAGUAGUGUAUGCAUGAACUCAAGCAUUAAAUUAGAAUUGAUUUUUUAAAAAACUCACACAAACAGAUGUAUUAUUUAAAAAUCUUUAAAGCAGGUUUAAACAGUUUUCAGGAUUAAAAGCAGCCACUAUUAGAAAGAACAAAAAUACAUUUGACAUAAAUAUAAGGAGCCUCAAUAGAACCUCCUGUACCCAGUCAUUGUCAAUGCCACAUCCAUUCAUUCACCAGCCCUUAUAUCAAUGCUUGCUGGGCUCACUUACCACGAUCAGCACGUGCAUGUCCUUAUCUGAAAGCUUGCCACUCAAAUGUGCUCAGUCUUACCUGUGUGGCUGGGAGUGUUGGGGAUUUAAUGUCAAGGGAAAGAAUCUUCCAUCAAUGAAUGAUGAAAGUUAGUUUUCACAACUUCCGGUCCCCUUGGCCCUCAUCAAAGGGCUCCAGGUGAGGUUUGGGCUCCUUGCUAUCCUCCGAGUUUCCACGGUAGUUUUAAGCACCAUUGCCCGUGGUAAUGGCUGACAUUGAUACUGCACUUUUUUUUUAUUUAAGAUGGAGUUCCCCUCUGCCACCCAGACUGGAGUACAGUGGCGCGAUCCUGGCCAUCGCAACCUCCGCCUCCCAGAUCCCUCCUACAACACAUGAGAAUUGUGGGUGCUACAAUUCAAGAUGAGAUUUGAGUGGGGACAAAGUCAAACCAUAUCAUUAGAUAGGACACUGGAGAAAGGCAAGAAAGAAAAGACAUCUGAAGAAUGAAGGGAGCCAAAGAAAUGCCAACAUUUUGCUUUUUGAAGAAAAGCUAAAUUAAAGUCAAAAUGGAUUUAUCAAUUUCCUUGGGUUCGUGAAUGUACAGAACUUUAUUAAGGUAAGUCAAAACUUCUCUUUUUAUACUUAACCCAACUCAAAUUGGCUUAUGUAGGGGAAACAAGAAAUCAAAACCCAAAGGAACAUGCCAGUUCAGGAAUAUACAGUUAGCUAAGCUUCUUACUGAACAAAUAAAAUCACAAAGCAUGUAUGCAGAUAGACCACAAGUGACUAUAGUGAGGUAGUUUAUUUCAGCUCUAUUUAUCUGGAAUUAAUGCUACACCAUCUGACAUAUUAAGCAGUUAUGCAUCAGGUAUCAGUAGUUACAUCUUCCAGUGCCUCUUACAGUUGCCCCUGAUGGUAUAUCUACUCGAAAGUAUGUAAGUGCACUCACAUUCUUCAACAUUUCCUCAUUAAAGCCAGAUGGAAUUGGGCUUCUUAUACUUGCUAUUCAUUCAUUUAAUAUUAUUAGAGUGUCUACCAUGUAGUAGGCAUUUUCUGUAAAUGCUGGGGAUAUCUUGAUAACAAAGACAAAACCUUUCCCCACAUAGAUCUUAAAUUUUAGUGCGAAGAGAAAGACAAUGACUAUUUUGAAGUUACGAAGGGGAUUUGCUGAUUUGAAUGCCUACUUAGGAGAUUCAGAAGUGGUUGGAUUUAGGUGCUUAGAUUAAGUCAUCAGGAAUUUCCACCUUCUACCCAUAACAGUGAGCAUCUGAAACUUACAAAACAAUAUUUCCUAUUUUACUUCAUUUUAUUUUAGAGACAGGGUCUUGCCUGUUGCUCAGUCUGGAAUGCAGUGGCACAAUCAUAGCUCACUGCAGCCUCAAUUUCCUGGGCUCAAGGGAUCCUCCCAAAGUGCUGGGAUUACAGGUAUAAGCCACCAUGCCCGGCCAAGAUACUCUAUUUUUAAUUUACAGUUUAUAUCAAGACACUGAGCCAGGGGAAUUUGAAGUCACCCAUCCAGUGGUCUUAGCAUCUUUGCUCACACACUGAAUGACUUGAUGUAAAUGACUGAAUCAGACUUGUUUGCUUAUAGCUGACACCACCGAGCAAACAUAUUCUCUCUUUCUCUGGGACAACACCUGAUAUGGUCUGGCUCUGUGUCCCCACCCACAUCUCAUCUUAAAUUGUAAUCCAAAUUGUAAUCCCCACAUGUUGGGGGAGGGACCUCAUGGGAAGUGAUUGGAUCAUGGUGGUGGUUCCCCCUGUGCUAUUCUCGUGAAAGUGAGUGAGUUCUCAUGAGAUCUGAUGGUUUUAUAAGGGGCUCUUCCCCCUUCAUUUUGCACUUCUGUCUCCUGCUGCCUUGUGAAGAAGGACAUGUUUGCUUCCCCUUCCACCAUGAUUGUAAGUUUCCUGAGGCCUCCCCAGCCAUGCCAAACUGUGAGUUAAUUAAACCUCUUUCCUUUAUAAAUUAUCCAGUCUCGGGUAUUUCUUUAUAGCAGCAUGAAAAUGGACUAAUACAGCACCUAUCUCCCAGUAUUGUAUUUUCACAAUGGAAGUUUUAAUCCAGGGAUGUCUAAUCUUGUGGCUUCCUAGGCCACACUGGAAGAAGAAUUGUCUUGGGCCACACAUAAAAUACACUAACACUAAUGAUAGCUGAGAAGCUAAAGAAAAAUCACAAAUAAAUCUUACAAUGUUUCAAGAAAGUUUACGAAUUUGUAUUGGGCUAUCCUGGGCUGCGUGCAGCCAUGGGCUAUGGGUUGGACAAGCUUGGUUUAAUCCAUAGAUGGAGCAUUCUACACAGCUCCCUUAAAGAUGUUCCAGAAGUGCUGACUCUGUGUCAGGCACCAUGUUCACCACUUAGAUGUUCGUUUAAUCCUUACAAAAGAGCCAUGGAGCAUGGACUGUUACUGUGGCAGAUGUGUUAGCCUCCUGUGGUUGCCAUAACAAAAUACUACAAACUGCGUGGCUUAAAACACCAGGAAUUUAUUCUCACUGUUCUAAAAGACGGAAGUCCGAAAUCCAGGAGUCAACAGGGCUGUGCUCCUUUUUGAGGCUCUAGGGAAGAAUACUUCCUCCCCUCUUCCAGCUUCUGCUGGCCACAGGUGUUCCUCGGCUUGUGGCCACAUCACUCCAAUUGCUGCCUCCAUCCCACAUAGCCUUCUUCCCUAUGUGUGUGUUCUCACAUGGUCUUUGUAUAAGGAUAUCAGUUAUGGGAUUUAGUUCCUACCAUAAUCCAUCAUGAACUCUACUGCACUAAUUACGUCUACAAAGGCCUUAUUGCCAAAUAAGGUCACAUUCUGGGGUUUCAGGUGAAUAUAAAUUUUGGAAGGACACUAUUCAACCCAGUACAACAAGUAAAAUUUAAAAAGGCACCCUUUUACCUUGGCAUGUUAUCUCACUUGAUUUUUAUAACAGCCCUGUAGAUUAAACAGAUAAUAUGUUAUAUUCCCACUUCUAGAUAUCAUCACCCAUUAUUUGAGAGAAUGGAAAUGAAGUUCAGGGCUGUUAACACUCCUGCCACUGAAACAUCCCAGGCCAGUGACCUUUUCAUGUCUGACCUAACAGGUGGUUUCCAACCACAGUUACUUGUGACAUCAUUCCAUCACUCCCCAUACACAUUCCCUGUAGAUCAACUUAUCUGGCCCUACAAUUAUAGUUACAGGGAAUUUUACAUUCUUCAUCUUCCACAGGCAACUGAAUCUUCUGGGACAAAAAGCAUAUGUUCUCCCAUAGUAAUAAAAUUUCCCUUUUUUAGCCUGGCAUGUGACUGCCAAUAAUAACACUUCCCAGACUCUCAGGUGUCCACGUCUAUCCAAAGGGAAAUAUAGUCAGUGAUAACUUCCAGACAUAGAUGAAACAUGCCACACCUUAUAGUCACUUUAUGGGGUUCAUUCUCUCUUCCCAUAGACUGUCAUGCUGUCAUCAUGGCUGGAUCUGAUACGGCCACCGUGGACCUUGAGGUGACCUCGGGAAUGGAGACAGUGCAUGGGAGAGAAUCACAUUGGAAGGGGCCUGGGUUUCUGAAGACCCUGUAAGACAGAUCUCCUUGCAGCCCUGACUGCCCACAUUAGGGCUUUUAUGUUAGGGUGAAGUUACCUUGCAUUGUCAUAUAAGCAAUUGCUAUUUGUGGUGUCUUGCAAAUAAACCUAUUCUGAUCUAGUAUGUUUCCUAAAAAACAAAAGUUUGAACCCAGCUCUUUACGUGUUACAUGUUCUGAAUACAAAAAUAAGACCCAGUUUCUGCCCCCUAGCAGGACCCAAAACCCCUCAGUGAAGGCAUACACCAUAGGAAUAAUCUCACAAGUACUUU